rnacentral:rRNA from 1 species
UGGGGGAUAUUGCACAAUGGGCGAAAGCCUGAUGCAGCGACGCCGCGUGGGGGAUGAAGGCUUUCGGGUUGUAAACCUCUUUCGCUAUCGAACAAGGCCCGCUUAGGGUGGGGUGAGGGUAGGUGGAGAAGAAGCGCCGGCUAACUACGUGCCAGCAGCCGCGGUAAUACGUAGGGCGCGAGCGUUGUCCGGAAUUAUUGGGCGUAAAGGGCUUGUAGGCGGCUUGUUGCGCCUGCUGUGAAAACGCGGGGCUUAACUUCGCGCGUGCAGUGGGUACGGGCAGGCUUGAGUGUGGUAGGGGUGACUGGAAUUCCAGGUGUAGCGGUGGAAUGCGCAGAUAUCUGGAGGAACACCGAUGGCGAAGGCAGGUCACUGGGCCAUUACUGACUCUGAGGAGCGAAAGCAUGGGUAGCGAACAGG